UACAGGGGGUGCAAACGUUGCUCGGAAUCAUUGGGCGUAAAGCGCACGUAGGCGGUUCGUUAUGUCGGAUGUGAAAGCCCUUGGCUUAACCGAGGAAGUGCAUCCGAAACUGGCGAGCUAGAGUACGAAAGAGGAUCGCGGAAUUCCGGGUGUAGUGGUGAAAUGCGUAGAGAUCCGGAGGAACCCCAGAGGCGAAGGCGGCGCCCUGGCUCGCAACUGACGCUCAGACACGACAGCAUGGGGAGCGAACGGG
rnacentral:rRNA from 1 species